rnacentral:lncRNA from 1 species
UCUGCAUCCAGUAUUCAAUAUUCAAAAAAGUGUAAUACAUACAUAUAUAUAUACUUGCAUAUAUAAUUGCUCUCCUUUUUUACCGCCUUCCUAACUCAACUUUUAAGGAGAUUCAUUUUUAAAUUGACAAUGUGGAUUUGGAACUCAAGCCCACAAUGUGAUGAACAAGUUACAGAAAUAUUUAUUUUUAUAUAUACAAUAAAUUAGCCGCACGCAAGGAACCGGAUUCAUAAACACUUCCUCGAUUACCAUCAUCGUACCACAAUUAUAUAUGCGCACCUUUUCUUUUGACUCACUUUAUGCAU